rnacentral:rRNA from 2 species
UGGGGAAUCUUGCGCAAUGGGCGAAAGCCUGACGCAGCAACGCCGCGUGUGUGAUGAAGGUCUUCGGAUCGUAAAGCACUGUCGCGAGGGACGAAUAAGCCUUUGGCUAACAUCCAGGGGCGAUGACGGUACCUCGAGAGGAAGCACCGGCUAACUCUGUGCCAGCAGCCGCGGUAAUACAGAGGGUGCGAGCGUUGUUCGGAAUUAUUGGGCGUAAAGCGCGUGUAGGCGGCUUAGCAAGUUGGGUGUGAAAGCCCUCGGCUUAACCGAGGAAGUGCGCCCAAAACUGCUUGGCUUGAGUACCGGAGAGGGUGGCGGAAUUCCCGGUGUAGAGGUGAAAUUCGUAGAUAUCGGGAGGAACACCAGCGGCGAAGGCGGCCACCUGGACGGAUACUGACGCUGAGACGCGAAAGCGUGGGGAGCAAACAGG